rnacentral:rRNA from 1 species
GACGUAGGGCGCGAGCGUUGUCCGGAUUUAUUGGGCGUAAAGAGCUCGUAGGCGGUUUGUUGCGUCGGCUGUGAAAUCCCGAGGCUCAACCUCGGGUCUGCAGUCGAUACGAGCAAACUAGAGUGUUGCAGGGGAGACUGGAAUUCCUGGUGUAGCGGUGAAAUGCGCAGAUAUCGAGGAGGAACACCGGUGGCGAAGGCGGGUCUCUGGGGCAACACUGACGCUGGAGGAGCGAAAGCGUGGGGAGCGAACAGG